UACGUAGGGUGCAAGCGUUAAUCGGAAUUACUGGGCGUAAAGCGUGCGCAGGCGGUUUUGUAGGACUGUCGUGAAAUCCCCGGGCUUAACCUGGGAAUUGCGAUGGUGACUGCAAGGCUAGAGUUUGGCAGAGGGGGGUAGAAUUCCACGUGUAGCAGUGAAAUGCGUAGAGAUGUGGAGGAACACCGAUGGCGAAGGCAGCCCCCUGGGUCAAAACUGACGCUCAUGCACGAAAGCGUGGGGAGCAAACAGG
rnacentral:rRNA from 1 species